AUACGUAGGUGGCAAGCGUUGUCCGGAAUUAUUGGGCGUAAAGCGCGCGCAGGCGGUCUUUUAAGUCUGAUGUGAAAGCCCCCGGCUCAACCGGGGAGGGUCAUUGGAAACUGGGAGACUUGAGUACAGAAGAGAAGAGUGGAAUUCCACGUGUAGCGGUGAAAUGCGUAGAGAUGUGGAGGAACACCAGUGGCGAAGGCGACUCUUUGGUCUGUAACUGACGCUGAGGCGCGAAAGCGUGGGGAGCGAACAGGAUUAGAUACCCUGGUAGUCCACGCCGUAAACGAUGAGUGCUAAGUGUUAGGGGGUUUCCGCCCUUUAGUGCUGCAGCAAACGCAUUAAGCACUCCGCCUGGGGAGUACGGCCGCAAGGCUGAA
rnacentral:rRNA from 1 species